AUGAAGAAGCGUGAAGCAAGCAGGAUGGAUAGAUUGAUCCAACGGUGUGACAAGAGCCAAGCAAUUUCAAAAGCGGGCCCCACGGCAAGCCACGUGUAACUGUUGUUGUUCUUUUUUUUCUUCACCACCAAGUCGUCCUCGUCCGGGGCUUCUCGGAGACACGCCAUCCUUCACCUCACCUUAACAUCGGACACUUUAAUAUAAGAACGAUUCAAUUAAUCUAAUUUGGAUAUUGUUAAAUAUCCAUCUGUUCACCGUUUUAAUUACUGUUGGCCUUUGGUACAUUCGAAUAUCCUUUCAUAACUCAGGUUUUCCCUCUUUCUCAUUCACGUUUCUGGAUUGGGAUUGAGAACCGAUCGGGUUCUUAUAUCGUGGUUGGUUUCGUUUCAGUGUUAUGAAACCAAGAUUGGAUUUUUUGAACAGAAAUAUAAUAUAAUAGAAUAGAAUAGAAUAGAAUAAUUGUGGAGGAUGCAAGCGGUUGGGAGGCUCGGCAGCUAUAUAAGCCAGGGUGUGUACACAGUUUCAGGUCCGUUUCAUCCUUUCGGUGGCGCCGUUGAUAUUGUGGUGGUGGAACAGCGUGAUGGGAGCUUCAAGUCCUCCCCUUGGUAUGUCCGAUUUGGCAAAUUCCAAGGGGUUUUGAAGGCAAGGGAAAGAGUGGUCGAUAUCAAUGUCAAUGGCGUGGAUGCUAGUUUCCAAAUGUAUCUGGAUCAUAAAGGGGAAGCUUUCUUUCUCAGAGAAAUCGAUACACAAGAACAAGAAGAAGAAGAAGAUUCCAGUUUGAUGUAUCCAUAUUCUUCUGGCGAUGACACGGACGAUCAAUCUCUCAAGUCCAGAAGUUGUUACUCCGAUUCACAUAAUGGAGAGGUUGUUGUGUCCAGGUCUAGUUCUCGCCGCUCCCGAAUACUUGGCCUUGUAUUUGGAGGAAGGUCUUUGAAGGGGCAAGUUGAAGAUGGUGAUGGAAAUAGGGAAGAUUCAUUGGAGCGUGCUGAGAUUGCAGCCAACUUGUUGGACCUCAAGUGGUCUACCUCUGGUAAAUACAGACAAAAUAUUCUUGCUACCUCUUCUGGGGCUGAUAACAUUCCCUUGGACAAUGGCUCAUUGCACCAAGGUGAGGCACAGGAUGGUGAACGUGACCCUAAUGAAAAGGAAGUUUCGUGUGUGGAGCUUGAAUCACGCAUUGAAAAGCAGUUUAAUGGAGAGGAGGUUUCCGGUUUAAGCACUGUUGUUGAUGCACCGGGUAAUGAUAUUUCUGAGGAGGACAUUUCACCAGAUGGAGCUCAUUCUCUAGUUUACUCCGAUGCAUCAGAGUGUUCCAAAGUGGGCUUGGAUUGUUCUAGUGAACAAGCUCACGAUGUGAUGCACCUUGCUGGCGGAGGAUGUGAAGUCUGUGUCCAUGAUGAUGAAGUCUUGCAUGGUGCAACUGUACUGCUAUCUGAGGGUACAGAAACUGAGGAUGUCACUAAGAAUGCUGAUCUUGGGAUGCCAGUAAUGGAGGUCUCUGAGUCUCAUUCUCAGGCUCAACAAACAGAUUGUACUGAUUCUGAUCGUAGUAUGUACGAUGUGAUGGAUGUUGAAGACCUACCAACAUCUCCAAAAUCUCAAACUGUCAAUAUGCACCUAGGACAUUGUUCAACUGAGAAAGUUGAGUCGAACUAUGUUACCAAACCUUCCAGUUACAACGGCCAGGAUGAUCAAACCUUAGACGAGAAUAAUAUGAGGGACAAAGAUAUCUCUAUCACGUUAUCAUCUCCUCCGGACUAUCUUGGUGAUUGUUUACCCGGAAAAGCAACUAGAUCACCAUCACCAAGUUCAGAGGAAGAAAACUUCCAUUUUAGUGACCUUGAUGAAAGCAGAGCCAAUGAUCAAUUUGAGGGAUCAUUCUCCCCGGAAUAUGUAGAUAAAGAAGAUGAUCUUUCUUAUGAGAAUGACACCGAAAAGUUAAGAGUUAUAUCCAGUCCCAUAGUUAUCCCUAGAAAUGAGGCUGCUGAGGAGGUAGUUGAGCAGCACAUAAUAUCGUUACCAAAUAUUUCUUCUUGUAGUGACAGCCUGGGCCAACAUGUUGUUUCUUAUCCAUUAAGUCAAUCUCUGGACUCAAAAUCCGCUUCUUUGCUGUGGACAUGUCCUGACAAAGAUGACUUGAAAUGUCAAAAAUCAGAUGAAGUCAAAGAAAACCAGUUAUCACAUGAGGAGCCAGGUGCCCACGAUUACCAUAAUUCUGAGGAGUUCGAGAGUACUGUUCUGAAGCUUCCCCUUGGAGAUCCGUCAAUUCACAACCCUUCCCCUGAUGGAAAUUGGAGAAUGUGGCCUUUCUCCAGAUCAAGAUCUAGAAAAGCUAUGCUGCCUAUUCCAAGGGAUGCCAAAAAUACCACUUUUGAUAAUUCUUCAGAGAAUAUGAUUAGCACAGAUGGGUACAAAAGUGUGCAUAGAUCCAAUCUAAUGAAAAAGAAGGUAACGGGAAAAACUCCAACUUCUGAACAGCUAGCAUCCUUGAAUCUGAAGGAAGGGAGGAACACUGUAACCUUCACUUUCUCUACAGCUGUGCUGGGGAAGCAGCAGGUUGAUGCUCAAAUAUAUUUGUGGAAAUGGAACACUCGUAUAGUGAUCUCAGAUGUGGAUGGGACAAUUACAAGGUCAGAUGUUCUUGGUCAGUUCAUGCCUUUGGUUGGAAUUGACUGGUCACAGACAGGGGUUACACAUUUUUUCUCCGCUAUCAAGGAGAAUGGUUACCAACUGCUUUUUCUCAGUGCUCGUUCAAUAUUCCAGGCCUAUCUUACACGACAGUUCCUAUUCAACCUUAAACAGGAUGGGAAGGUUUUACCAGAUGGUCCUGUUGUUAUUUCUCCCGAUGGACUUUUUCCCUCUCUAUAUCGCGAAGUCAUUAGGAGGGUUCCUCAUGAAUUCAAAAUUGCAUGCUUGGAGGACAUCAAGGCUCUUUUUCCUUCUGAUUGCAAUCCAUUUUAUGCUGGUUUUGGAAAUAGGGAUACUGACGAAAUCAGCUACCUUAAGGUUGGAAUCCCUAAAGGAAAAAUCUUCAUAAUCAAUCCCAAGUUUGCAGGGAGAGAUUGCUGUAAACCGUUGUCUUGACACAAAAUCAUAUACUUCUCUGCAUGCUCUGGUGAAUGGAAUGUUCCCCCUUGCGAACUCUUCUGAGCAGGAGGAUUUCAAUUCUUGGAAUUACUGGAAGCUAUCCCCUUUUGGUAUAGAUAUUUGAAAGCCUCAAUUAUCUUGAUCUGGAUAUGGAUGGGUGCAAGCUGUGCUGCUCCUAGAAUUAUAUGGGUAAAUUUAUUUUCAGCUCCUAAUAAUCUGUUCAGACUCCACAAUUUAGUUUUAGUUAUUAAAUACUUGAUAUUUUUUUAAUGGGUUUUUUAACUCGAGUGUUCCUUUCUUUCAAUCAUAAUUUUCUUAGGGAAAUGUCUUUAUACUUUUCUAAGAUAAUCGUUUCAAUAUUCCUACUGGAACUGGGGGUAUGGAAGAUAUUAUUAAUGUGACUAAUCUUGAAGAAGCUAUGCAACAGAAGUUAGAACUCGGACAUUACAGAUGAUAGCAAGUCCGAGUUCUAAACUUCUACUGUCUUGGACCUCUUCAUAAAAAAUUAGAGCAUUAUCGUAUGCUAUGACGGUGUGUGUAUUUGGGCCGCUGUAUGUGCAAUUGUAA